GUGCACACUUCGGCAGCACAUAUACUAAAAUUGGAACGAUACAGAGAAGAUUAGCACGGCCCCUGCGCAAGGAUGACACGCAAAUUCGUGAAGUGUUCCUUUUUUUU
ensembl:snRNA U6 U6 spliceosomal RNA